AUUGUUAUUGAUUAUUAUUGAUUAUUAUUGAUUAUUGAUCAGUUUUAUUGGACGUGAACCGUGACUUUGGAGGUCAAUUAAACUAACAAACUGUUUAACUCUUUGUUUACACUUUUUCUCAUCUAUUUUUUGUUUUUUUUAAGCAACUUAAAAAAUCAGAUUAAUCACAGACGCUAUCAAUUAAUCACAAUUAAUCAAGUGUUUGAAUGGACCAGCAGGGGUCACCAGAGUGACCCGGCCAGGUCAGGUGUGUGUUUGUCACCUGGUGUGAACCAUCGACUCUUUUCCUCCUGCCUUGCUGCUCGUGGUCUAACCAUGAAAACCUGCCACAGCGCCUCCUGCUGUUGGAUGGCAGAAUUCAACACAGUGUUAACUUUUACUUUUCUCUUUUCAAUCAAGGGCCAAACUGUGCAAAACACCACGCAAAUCAGAAAGCUGCGUCGGGAGCUGGACGCCUCUCAGGAGAAGGUGGCGACGCUGACGUCUCAGCUGGCUGCCAACGCCCACCUGGUGGCAGCUUUUGAGAAGAGCCUCAGUAACAUGACGUGUCGUCUGCAGAGCCUCACCAUGACUGCAGAACAAAAGGUACAAGGAUGUCACGGUGUGUGUGUCAGUGUGUGUGUGUGUGUGUGUGUGU